rnacentral:lncRNA from 10 species
AAGCAGGUUCCCCCUAGGCAGAGCGCCAAGAAGCAGCCCAGGCGAUCCCAAGGCGCACAAGUGCUCUCACCAGGCUGCGCGCUGGCGGGUCGGUGCACAGGGACGGGGUCGCCGCCCACGCGCGCUUGGUUCAGGGAGCCCAGGCUGUCCCUACCCGCGGCUACAAAAGCUCGCCGAGUCUUCCUGUCCACCCAAUCGCCCCACAUGUCAGCGGUUGGUCGCCUCGCGGUGCAGUGCUGGGCACGCGAGCCCCUCCCGCAGUCAUUCUCAGCACAAGCACCAGCCUGGAGCCCCGCAGCGACAGAGCUGAGAGCCCCCAAGCCGCAGAGGUCGUGCGGAGCAGGUUGGUCUAAUUGAAGGCAAUGGAGAAGUAAGUCUUUAUGGAUCAAAAUCUUAGCUCUAGAAAAGUUGCCCUUGGCUAUAAAGCCUGAAGUGGGUGUUGGAGUAGUCAACGACUAACCCAGGAUGGAUUUGUGCCAAUACACAAGUGACAACAUCUUUCACAGCUGAAGAGUCGGAGGAUAAAGCCAUGCCCACAGAUCGUUGUCACACAGAUUUGAUUAAGUGAAACAAAGCCCCAGCUGCUGGAGCAGAGGUUCCACUUGGGUUCCACAGACACCCACAGCCCAAAUCCCUGGAGGCCUAAGGCAAUAGCUAAUUGAGACUAUGCAUCACUAUUAAGGCAUCUUCACUAAAGGGCGCUGUGGAAACGCUGCCUGAGAUGCAGACACCUGUCAGAAGGGGGCUAAAUUUCAAACAAGGAACGUGGUGUUGCAUCACAAUAAAGUAGAUUCUAGUAUUACCUUCCUUUUUCAGAAGAGGAGACCAAUGGGGAGCAUUGGAAUGAUUUGGUUGCAAGCAUACUACACUACUUGUAAACUGCAGACACAGGCUUAAAAAAAGUGAAAAACUAACCAUGCAAUAAAGAAUGGAAUGAACCAUGAAGCUGUUUCUGUGGCCAGUCAUGUUUUUGAAGCAUAUCCCAUGCUAAUUUCUAGAACAGAAGAAACACACGUGUUCUUGUGUGUAAACCCAGUCCAUGGAAGAGACCGUCUGCUUGUCCCUCCUGAUCUCUGGGCCCAGACAACCAGUAGUCACCAUUCCAAGUGAGGGGUGGCUGCAACUCUACAGCCCCGUUCGUCUCUCCUCACUGUCAAAGCUGCUGAGACCCCAGACUCGACACUUGAAAGAAACCCAUGUCUGUGAAGCACUUGUGGACCAUUCAAGAUUGUGGAAGAAUCACUCAAGAGAAGGAGAUAGGUGAUGGGAUCUAGCUUCUGAUGGUUUCUAUUUUAUUGAAUGUCUAAUAGGGCAAGAAUUUGAAAAACGAGAAUGUUUGCCAUGCAGGAGGACCUGGGAAGGAGAUAACACAUUUACAGGGAGAAAGAUUGGGAUUCAGUUGGGAGGAGUAACUGAGGAAAGGGGUCACUCAAAAUAUUUUGUAUUUUAGGUCCUUUUUCUAUUAAGGAGGAAUGGAUUAUCAAAGCCUUAACAUUAAAUUGUAUUGUGUCAGGUGAAUUGCUAUGGUUUGAAUGUGGUGUGUCCCCCUCCCAAACUCACAUUGAAUUUUUUUUUUUUUUUUUGAGACGGAGUCUCGCUCUGUUGCCCAGGCUGGAGUGCAGUGGUGCGAUCUUGGCUCACUACAAGCUCUGCCUCCCGGGUUCAAGAGAUUCUCCUGCCUCAGCCUCCCGAGUAGCUGGGAUUACAGAUGUUCGUCACCACACCUGGCUAAUUUUUGUAUUUUUAAUAGAGAUGGGGUUUCACUAUGUUGGCUAGGCUGGUCUCAAACUCCCGACAUCAGGUGAUCCACCCACCUCGGCCUCCCAAAGUGCUGGGAUUAGAGGAGUGAGCCACUGCACCCAGCCUCACGUUGAGGUUUAAUUGCCAUUGUAACAGUAUAAAGAUGUGGGACCUUUACGAGGUGAUUAGGCAAUGAGGACUCUGCCCUCAUGAAUGGAUUAAUGCUGUUAUCAUGGGAGUGGAUUCCUUAUAAAGGGACACGUUCAGCACCCCCUUGCUCUCUCUCUCACCUUCCGCCAUAUGAUGAUGGGGCACAAAGGCCAUCAUCAGAUGUUGGCCCCUUGUUCUCGAACUUCCCAACCUCCAGAGCAGUAAAAAAAUAAAUCACUGUUCUUUAC